ACACAUGCAAGUCGAGGGGCAGCGGGGAGGUAGCAAUACCUUUGCCGGCGACCGGCGCACGGGUGAGUAACACGUAUGCAAUCCACCUGUAACAGGGGGAUAACCCGGAGAAAUCCGGACUAAUACCCCAUAAUAUGGGCGCUCCGCAUGGAGAGUUCAUUAAAGAGAGCAAUUUUGGUUACAGACGAGCAUGCGCUCCAUUAGCCAGUUGGCGGGGUAACGGCCCACCAAAGCGACGAUGGAUAGGGGUUCUGAGAGGAAGGUCCCCCACAUUGGAACUGAGACACGGUCCAAACUCCUACGGGAGGCAGCAGUGAGGAAUAUUGGUCAAUGGUCGGCAGACUGAACCAGCCAAGUCGCGUGAGGGAAGACGGCCCUACGGGUUGUAAACCUCUUUUGUCGGAGAGUAAAGUACGCUACGCGUAGCGUAUUGCAAGUAUCCGAAGAAAAAGCAUCGGCUAACUCCGUGCCAGCAGCCGCGGUAAUACGGAGGAUGCGAGCGUUAUCCGGAUUUAUUGGGUUUAAAGGGUGCGUAGGCGGCACGCCAAGUCAGCGGUGAAAUUUCCGGGCUCAACCCGGAGUGUGCCGUUGAAACUGGCGAGCUAGAGUGCACAAGAGGCAGGCGGAAUGCGUGGUGUAGCGGUGAAAUGCAUAGAUAUCACGCAGAACCCCGAUUGCGAAGGCAGCCUGCUAGGGUGCGACAGACGCUGAGGCACGAAAGCGUGGG
rnacentral:rRNA from 1 species